UACGGAGGAUCCAAGCGUUAUCCGGAUUUAUUGGGUUUAAAGGGUGCGUAGGCGGCUUUUUAAGUCGGGUGUGAAAGCCCCGGGCUCAACCUGGGAAUUGCAUUCGAGACUGAAUAGCUAGGGUACGGUAGAGGGAAGUGGAAUUUCCGGUGUAGCGGUGAAAUGCGUAGAUAUCGGAAGGAACAUCAGUGGCGAAAGCGACUUCCUGGACCAGUACCGACGUUCAGGCACGAAAGCGUGGGGAGCAAACAGG
rnacentral:rRNA from 1 species